UUUGCCUUUUGGCCUCCUUUCUUUUCUUCCUUCUCUUUCUCCUGAGUUUCUUUUUCUACCAGCAGGUCGAAGUACUCGUCGCUGGUGACGACACAGGCUGGCAACGGAAUGCGACGCCUCACCUUCUCCUUCCUCUCCAGGGCUGGACUCAUGAGGACAUUAGCCAGACUCUCUGGGAUUACACCUGCUGCCACCAGUAGGUUGAGUGAUGGAUGGUGUGGUGGUAGCGAUAGAUGGUGUGGCUGAAGGAGUGGCGGCAGGGCUGGAUGGUGUGGCGUGGGAGCACUCUCACCACCUAAGAAAAUAAAACCAGUCCUGGACAGAGGAAAGAUGCCAGCCUGGCGGGACCCGGCCUUGAUGUUUUGGGCUGUGACAGCAGUGGGGUACACAUGUUUGAGGAGAGCUGAAAACUGCUUCUUCCCCACAACAAUGUCCCUUCGCACCAGACCCAUCCUGGAAACCAAUG